UACGUAGGGUGCGAGCGUUAAUCGGAAUUACUGGGCGUAAAGCGUGCGCAGGCGGUUUUGUAAGCCAGAUGUGAAAUCCCCGGGCUUAACCUGGGAAUGGCAUUUGGGACUGCAAGGCUUGAGUGCGGCAGAGGAGACUGGAAUUCCUGGUGUAGCAGUGAAAUGCGUAGAUAUCGGGAGGAACAUCAGUGGCGAAGGCGGCCAUCUGGGACAACACUGACGCUGAAGCACGAAAGCGUGGGGAGCAAACAGG
rnacentral:rRNA from 1 species